rnacentral:piRNA from 1 species
CAUGUUGUUUGGCUGGGAAUACAA